rnacentral:lncRNA from 1 species
CCUCUCUUGCCGACAGCCUGCAGCUUCUCUGCGGUUCCCCCCACGCAUCCUCUGCCUUCAGUGGCCCACGGAGGUGGGCCUCCUCCAUCCUCCUCCAUCUCUGUCUCCUUUGGUGGCUGAGUGGGCCUCGAACUAAGUGGACGAAUAGGAAAGCUUAGGCACUGGACUUCUCCAACAGCAAAACCCGCCUCUGCUCCUUUGCCACCAGCCUCUCCUCACGUUGACUUACAUCGAAGAUCGAAACCAGGAGAGUGUUUGAGAG